rnacentral:rRNA from 1 species
UCGGAACGUGUCCUGUUGUGGGGGGAGUAACUGAUCGAAAGAUCAGCUAAUACCGCAUGAGACCUGAGGGUGAAAGCGGGGGAUCGCAAGACCUCGCGCGACAGGAGCGGCCGAUGUCUGAUUAGCUAGUUGGUGAGAUAAAAGCUUACCAAGGCGACGAUCAGUAGCUGGUCUGAGAGGAUGAUCAGCCACAUUGGGACUGAGACACGGCCCAGACUCCUACGGGAGGCAGCAUG